CGGGGUAUAGCGCAGCCCGGUAGCGCGCGUCGUUCGGAACGACGAGGUCAGAGGUUCGAACCCUCUUGCCCCGACAA
rnacentral:tRNA from 1 species